rnacentral:rRNA from 1 species
CCUACGUGCGGCAGCAGUGGGGAAUAUUGGACAAUGGGCGAAAGCCUGAUCCAGCCAUGCCGCGUGUGUGAAGAAGGCCUUCGGGUUGUAAAGCACUUUCAGUGGGGAAGAAAGCCUUGGGGCUAAUACCCUCGAGGAAGGACAUCACCCACAGAAGAAGCACCGGCUAACUCCGUGCCAGCAGCCGCGGUAAUACGGAGGGUGCGAGCGUUAAUCGGAAUUACUGGGCGUAAAGCGCGCGUAGGCGGUCUGAUAAGCCGGUUGUGAAAGCCCCGGGCUCAACCUGGGAACGGCAUCCGGAACUGUCAGGCUAGAGUGCAGGAGAGGAAGGUAGAAUUCCCGGUGUAGCGGUGAAAUGCGUAGAGAUCGGGAGGAAUACCAGUGGCGAAGGCGGCCUUCUGGACUGACACUGACGCUGAGGUGCGAAAGCGUGGGUAGCAAACAGGAUUAGAUACCCAGUAGUC